rnacentral:lncRNA from 1 species
UCAGCCUCCUGUAACCGCUGCCGGCCCUGCCGCUGGUGCCGCAGCUCCAGCACUCGCCUCCUCCCCACUUCCCACCCCAGUUCCCGUUCCAGGCACAAACCCACUGACCCUGCGGUCCCCUCUGCACCCCUAAAUCCCCUCCAGGAGCAAGCGCAGCACCUGCUGCAGGCAGCCACCAGCCAUGGUUUGGGGGCCUUCAGCUGCGGGCCCUGGAGCUGGGGGGCAGCGGGGAGGUGCUGGGUGUGUUCCUGGUGGGUGCAGGGCUCUGCCUUCCCCGUCCCCACGUGGGGGGCAUCACCCCGUGGCGCUGGGGUGUCCGUGUGCAGUGCUGGGGACGUGGCUGGGCCGCGUGCUGGCGCUCUGCCCCUCACAGGAGAGCGAUGCCCCCGGGAAACGCUCUGCCUUCCCCAGAAGAAUCCCUUCCCAGGCAGCCAGGCCUCUGGGGUCACUGGGGCCUGGGAUAAUGGGCUCAAAAACGAGAGCAUCGGGGCCCGGAGCCUGCGGCCUCGGCUGCCGUGCGUGCCACGGGGCCGCUGCCGUGGCGGUGCCGGGGUGAGCCCGGCUGUGUUGCAUGCGCUCGGUUCCUGUUUUUUUCCCACAGCCUGGAAAUCCCCUGACUUUCCGCCGGGGCAAGGAGCCCUGGGUCCAGCUGGCUCCCUGCCGGCCGCAGCUUCGGGAAGGGGCAUCUCAGGGUGGGGGGACAGAGCCACUGCCCUGUGCCAGGCCGUCAGCGCAGGCUGGAGCCGAGCAGGGAGCCUGGACGGGACCCGGCUGCCCCGUACCUGGCAGGAGCCACGCUGGGGGGCAGCAUCCUGCAAAGCCCCUCAGGUUUGGGGAGCUCCUUCACUGAGUUUCCACCUCUGGGGAGCCUCUUUCUGCGGCACCGGGAGCAGCAGGGAGCAGAGUGCAGCUGAUGCAACCCGGCCGGGAGCUGCAGCCGAAGCCAUGGGAGCUGCCUCCUGCCCGCGUUUCUUUGCUGUGGACAGUUUCCAAUCGAUCCUGCCCUCCUGCUGCUGGGAACCCGGCCCUCUCGGGAGGGGGAAGCACAGCACUUACCAGAAUUUGGGUGAUCGCUUUCCAGCACUUUGGACUCGGUGCCAAGAUCGAAGUAAAUCACACGCGGCCAGGCGCUAUCAUGAGAGAAGCCUGCAAGGGAGCAGGAGGAAAAAGAUGGUGCUGCCGGAGCCCUGGGGGGCAGCUGCGCCCCCUUCUCUGCCCUGCUGCCAGCUCCAGGCCCUGUGCUCUGGGAAGGCUCCCCAGCUCCGCAGGGUGCUGUGGGGAUGGAGCCGGGGAGAUGCCCCUGGCCCUGAGGAUCUGCAGAGCCUUUGGGGACCCCGGGCUGUGGAGUACGGGGCUGUUUCUGGGCCGCAGCACUGCUCCCCAGCAGGACCCCGAGCUGGGCUGCCAGCCAUGGAGCUGGGAGGGCGGCCACAAGGCUGCAGAUUUAUGCCUGAGGUGUUUAAAUACGCUGCUCUCUGCAACUUACAGGGUCCUUCCAAAAUGAUCUCCCUUCAGUGA